CCUACGGGCGGCAGCAGUGAGGAAUAUUGGUCAAUGGACGAGAGUCUGAACCAGCCAAGUAGCGUGAAGGAUGACUGCCCUAUGGGUUGUAAACUUCUUUUAUAUGGGAAUAAAAUGUUCCACGUGUGGGAUUUUGUAUGUACCAUAUGAAUAAGGAUCGGCUAACUCCGUGCCAGCAGCCGCGGUAAUACGGAGGAUCCGAGCGUUAUCCGGUUUUAUUGGGUUUAAAGGGAGCGUAGGUGGAUUGUUAAGUCAGUUGUGAAAGUUUGCGGCUCAACCGUAAAAUUGCAGUUGAAACUGGCAGUCUUGAGUACAGUAGAGGUGGGCGGAAUGCGUGGUGUAGCGGUGAAAUGCUUAGAUAUCACGAAGAACUCCGAUUGCGAAGGGAGUUCACUGGACUGCAACUGACACUGAGGCUCGAAAGUGUGGGUAUCAAACAGGAUUAGAUACCCCUGUAGUC
rnacentral:rRNA from 1 species